GGUCCUAGCCUUGGGCUCAUUACUACUUAAUAUAUACAUGCAAGUCUCUUCACCCCUGUGAGAACGCCCUUAAACCCCUGAUAGGGGCAAGGAGCUGGUAUCAGGCACAAUAAUUAGCCCAAAACACCUAGCUACGCCACACCCACAAGGGAAUUCAGCAGUAAUUAAUAUUGAACAUAAGCGCCAGCUUGAUUCAGUUAAAGUAAAAAGGGCCGGCAAAUCUGGUGCCAGCCGCCGCGGUUACACCAUAUGACCCAAAUUGACCCCCAACACGGCGUAAAGCGUGAUUAAAGUUUUUCCCCAUUGUAGCUAAACUACUAUUGAGCUGUGACACGCCUUUAGCUAGGAAAACCAAAAACGAAAGUUGCUACAUACAAAUCAACUUGAAUUCACAACAGCUAGGACACAAACUAGGAUUAGAUACCCUACUAUGCCUAUCUAUAAACUCUUAACUUACACCUAAAUCGCCUGGGAACUACGAGCAAAGCUUAAAACCCAAAGGACUUGACGGUACCCCAAAUCCCCCUAGAGGAGCCUGUCCUUUAAUCGAUAGUCCCCGUUCAACCUCACCAUUUUUAGUCAAUCAGUCUGUAUACCUCCGUCGUCAGCUUACCACGUGAGCGUCCUAAAGUAAGCCCAAUGUUUAUACACAUCAAUACGUCAGGUCAAGGUGCAACUAAUAAAAUGGAAAGAGAUGGGCUACACUCUCUAAGAUAGAACACACGGAAAACUAACUGAAAACUAGUUUAAAGGCGGAUUUAGAAGUAAAAAAKAACUAGAGAGUUUUUUUUAACCCGGCACUGGGGUGUGUACACACCGCCCGUCACCCUCUUGAAGCCCCUAAACAG
rnacentral:ncRNA from 1 species